AGAGUUUGAUCCUGGCUCAGAAUCAACGCUGGCGGCGUGCCUAACACAUGCAAGUCGAACGCGAAAGUCCCGCAAGGGAUAAGUAGAGUGGCAAACGGGUGAGUAACGCGUGGGUGACCUGCCUUCGAGUGGGGGAUAACGUCUCGAAAGGGACGCUAAUACCGCAUAACAUCCUGUCUUUUAAGAGAUGGACAUCAAAGCCUGGGACCGCAAGGCCAGGCGCUUGAAGAGGGGCCCGCGUCUGAUUAGCUAGUUGGCGGGGUAAUGGCUCACCAAGGCAACGAUCAGUAUCCGGCCUGAGAGGGCGGACGGACACACUGGGACUGAGACACGGCCCAGACUCCUACGGGAGGCAGCAGUGGGGAAUUGUUCGCAAUGGGCGCAAGCCUGACGACGCAACGCCGCGUGGAGGAUGAAGAUCUUCGGGUCGUAAACUCCUUUCGAUCGAGACGAAUGGCCUUUGGGUUAAUAGCCUGAGGGAAUGACGGUACCGAGAGAGAGCC
rnacentral:rRNA from 1 species